rnacentral:tmRNA from 1 species
GGGGAUGUACUGGUUUUGACGCUGUGAUCGGUAAAUCCGGGUUGCGAGUCCGAGCGCUGUUCUCGGUUAUCAACGAGCAAAUUAAAACAAACGCUGAAUCAAACGUUGUUUAUGCUAACUUCGGUCGCGAAAGCAGACUAGCUGCCUAAUUGCAGCUAUUAGCCCUCUAGUCCGACCAGCUUGCCGUUUGACUAGAUGAAAUUAUGCAAGACGCAGUACGCAAAUGAUGGUAUGCGUAUCAAGAUUACCAUUGGAGGUUAGGCUUCCGCAAAAAGCCUUUGGAUUAUGUUAGGUUUUGUUAUUUCCCAUCUUAAUCCGAGAUAAUAAGUAACUACACUCGUAGAUAUCAGUUUUUAUCCACAAUGGACGUGGGUUCGACUCCCACCAUCUCCAGUU